rnacentral:rRNA from 1 species
AGAGCGAACGCUGGCGGCAGGCCUAAUACAUGCAAGUCGAACGGACCCUUCGGGGUUAGUGGCGGACGGGUGAGUAACACGUGGGAACGUGCCCUUUGGUUCGGAACAACUCAGGGAAACUUGAGCUAAUACCGGAUGUGCCCUUCGGGGGAAAGAUUUAUCGCCAUUGGAGCGGCCCGCGUCUGAUUAGCUAGUUGGUGGGGUAAAGGCUCACCAAGGCUACGAUCAGUAGCUGGUCUGAGAGGAUGAUCAGCCACACUGGGACUGAGACACGGCCCAGACUCCUACGGGAGGCAGCAGUAGGGAAUCUUGCGCAAUGGGCGAAAGCCUGACGCAGCCAUGCCGCGUGAAUGAUGAAGGUCUUAGGAUUGUAAAAUUCUUUCAGCGGGGACGAUAAUGACGGUACCCGCAGAAGAACGCCCCGGCUAACUUCGUGCCAGCAGCCGC